rnacentral:rRNA from 1 species
AGCUCCAAUAGCGUAUAUUAAAGUUGUUGUGGUUAAAAAGCUCGUAGUUGGAUCUCGGCGGUCUGAGGGCGGUUCGCUUGAUUGAGUGCUACUGCUCUAUAGGCCGUGGUUUUGCCAGAGGUCUCGGGGUGCUCUUAACCGAGUGUCCUGCGAUGCUGGCAGGUUUACUUUGAAAAAAUUAGAGUGCUCAAAGCAGGCUUUUACGCCUGAAUAUUCGUGCAUGGAAUAAUAGAAUAGGAAGUCGUUUCUAUUUUGUUGGUUUGCGGAAAUCGACAUUUGUAUUCAAACGACAGAGGUGAAAUUCUUGGACCGUUUGAAGACAAACUACUGCGAAAGCAUUUGCCAAGAAUGUUUUCA